GAUCAUAAAACUGAUUUCCGUCAAGAUUUUAUACAUUAUAUUAAUAAUAAUGAUAGAUUCAAAGAUUUAUCAAACUUUAUAAAUCCAAUAUUUUCUUAUGUAAAGCAAUGGCAAAGUGAAAACUAUGCCAUUUCACUUAGAACAAACCCAAAACAAUAUUGUUAUGACUACUCGAAUCCAUAUAUUAAUAUGUUUUUAG